GAGUGAACGCUGGCGAUAGGCCUAACCCAUGCAAGUCGAACGGCAGCACAGUAAGAGCUUGCUCUUACGGGUGGCGAGUGGCGGGCGGGUGAGGAAUACAUCGGAAUCUACUUUUUCGUGGGGGAUAACGUAGGGAAACUUACGCUAAUACCGCAUACGACCUACGGGUGAAAGCAGGGGAUCUUCGGACCUUGCGCGAUUGAAUGAGCCGAUGUCGGAUUAGCUAGUUGGCGGGGUAAAGGCCCACCAAGGCGACGAUCCGUAGCUGGUCUGAGAGGAUGAUCAGCCACACUGGAACUGAGACACGGUCCAGACUCCUACGGGAGGCAGCAGUGGGGAAUAUUGGACAAUGGGCGCAAGCCUGAUCCAGCCAUACCGCGUGGGUGAAGAAGGCCUUCGGGUUGUAAAGCCCUUUUGUUGGGAAAGAAAAGCAGCAGGUUAAUACCCCGCUGUUCUGACGGUACCCAAAGAAUAAGCACCGGCUAACUUCGUG
rnacentral:rRNA from 1 species